rnacentral:rRNA from 1 species
UUAGGAAUCUGCCUAUUAGUGGGGGACAACAUUCCGAAAGGAAUGCUAAUACCGCAUACGCCCUACGGGGGAAAGCAGGGGAUCUUCGGACCUUGCGCUAAUAGAUGAGCCUAAGUCGGAUUACCUAGUUGGUGGGGUAAAGGCCUACCAAGGCGACGAUCUGUAGCGGGUCUGAGAGGAUGAUCCGCCACACUGGGACUGAGACACGGCCCAGACUCCUACGGGAGGCAGCAGUGGGGAAUAUUGGACAAUGGGCGCAAGCCUGAUCCAGCCAUGCCGCGUGUGUGAAGAAGGCCUUUUGGUUGUAAAGCACUUUAAGCGAGGAGGAGGCUCCUUUAGUUAAUACCUAAAGUGAGUGGACGUUACUCGCAGAAUAAGCACCGGCUAACUCUGUGCCAGCAGCCGCGGUAAUACAGAGGGUGCGAGCGUUAAUC